rnacentral:rRNA from 1 species
CAGUCGCCGCGGUAAUACAGAGGGUGCGAGCGUUAAUCGGAUUUACUGGGCGUAAAGCGCACGUAGGCGGCUUUGUAAGUUAGAGGUGAAAGCCUGGAGCUCAACUCCAGAAUUGCCUUUAAGACUGCAUCGCUUGAAUCCGAGAGAGGUGAGUGGAAUUCCGAGUGUAGAGGUGAAAUUCGUAGAUAUUCGGAAGAACACCAGUGGCGAAGGCGGCUCACUGGCUCGGUAUUGACGCUGAGGUGCGAAAGCGUGGGGAGCAAACAGGAUUAGAUACCCCGGUAGUCCCUGUCUCUUAUAC